UUGUUUUAUUUUAUUUAUUUAUUUUAUAAGCAUGCAAGCUAAUUAAAUAAGCAAUUUUUUUUUUCAGGGGUCAAAGUGCAAUUUUGCACUUCACACGGCCGCACCAAAAAAGGCUUGAAUCCAGCACGGCCGUGUGGAAAAUCGGAGAGGCUACUGCCCAGAAUUCAAGUUUCGCACGGCCGUGCG